rnacentral:rRNA from 1 species
ACGCUGGCGGCGUGCUUAACACAUGCAAGUCGAACGGUAAGGCCCUUCGGGGUACACGAGUGGCGAACGGGUGAGUAACACGUGGGUGAUCUGCCCUGCACUUUGGGAUAAGCCUGGGAAACUGGGUCUAAUACCGAAUAGGACCAUGGACUUCACGGUUUGUGGUGGAAAGCUUUUGCGGUGUGGGAUGGGCCCGCGGCCUAUCAGCUUGUUGGUGGGGUAAUGGCCUACCAAGGCGACGACGGGUAGCCGGCCUGAGAGGGUGACCGGCCACACUGGGACUGAGAUACGGCCCAGACUCCUACGGGAGGCAGCAGUGGGGAAUAUUGCACAAUGGGCGCAAGCCUGAUGCAGCGACGCCGCGUGAGGGAUGGCGGCCUUCGGGUUGUAAACCUCUUUCAGCACAGACGAAGCGCAAGUGACGGUAUGUGCAGAAGAAGGACCGGCCAACUACGUG